GCCUCGGUAGCUUAGUGGUCAAGACGCUCACUUGGUAAACAGGAGGGCGUGGGUUCGAUCCCAGCCGAGGCA
rfam:Asian citrus Psyllid, Diaphorina citri - Florida Strain, whole genome shotgun sequence.